CAGUCGAAACACGACCCGAAUUGGCGAUCUGAAAUGACCAAGUUUUUACGGGCGUGGCUUUAAAAUGAAUUCACACGAUAGGAUAAUUAUACGUACAAGAUCAAUAUCAGUUCAGCUUUCUAUUUCUCGUCGUGCAAAAAUAGACACGUGGUCACUGUGCAUUGCGCGGUCGACCAGUCGAAACACGACCCGAAUUGGCGAUCUGAAAUGACCAGGUUUUUACGGGCGUGGCUUUAAAAUGAAUUGAGACGGUAGGAUAAUUAUAUGUACAAGAUCAAUAUCAGUUCAGCUUUCUAUUUCUCGUCGUGCAAAAAUAGACACGUGGUCACUGUGCAUUGCGCGGUCGACCAGUCGAAACACGACCCGAAUUGGCGAUCUGAAAUGACCAAGUUUUUACGGGCGUGGCUUUAAAAUGAAUUCACACGAUAGGAUAAUUAUACGUACAAGAUCAAUAUCAGUUCAGCUUUCUAUUUCUCGUCGUGCAAAAAUAGACACGUGGUCACUGUGCAUUGCGCCGUCGACCAGUCGAAACACGACCCGAAUUGGCGAUCUGAAAUGACCAGGUUUUUACGGCGUGGCUUUAAAAUGAAUUGAGACGAUAGGAUAAUUAUACGUACAAGAUCAAUAUCAGUUCAGCUUUCUAUCGUCGUGCAAAAAUAGACACGUGGUCACUGUGCAUUGCGCGGUCGACCAGUCGAAACACGACCCGAACUGGCGAUCUGAAAUGCGAUUGAUCUUGUACUUGUAAGACCAGGUUUUUACGGGCGUGGCUUUAAAAUGAAUUCAGACGAUAGGAUAACUAUACGUACAAGAUCAAUAUAAGUUCAGCUUUCUAUUUCUCGUCGUGCAAAAAUAGACACGUGGUCACUGUGCAUUGCGCGGUCGACCAGUCGAAACACGACUCGAAUUGGCGAUCUGAAAUGACCAGGUUUUUACGGGCGUGGCUUUAAAAUGAAUUGAGACGAUAGGAUAAUUAUACGUACAAGAUCAAUAUCAGUUCAGCUUUCUAUGUCUCGUCGUGCAAAAAUAGACACGUGGUCACUGUGCAUUGCGCGGUCGACCAGUCGAAACACGACCCGAAUUGGCGAUCUGAAAUGACCAGGUUUUUACGGGCGUGGCUUUAAAAUGAAUUGAGACGAUAGGAUAAUUAUACGUACAAGAUCAAUAUCAGUUCAGCUUUCUAUUUCUCGUCGUGCAAAAAUAGACACGUGGUCACUGUGCAUUGCGCGGUCGACCAGUCGAAACACGACCCGAAUUGGCGAUCUGAAAUUGCCAGGUUUUUUCUUGCGUGGCUUUAAAAUGAAUUCAGACGAUAGGAUAAUUAUACGUACAAGAUCAAUAUCAGUUCAGCUUUCUAUUUCUCGUCGUGCAAAAAUAGACACGUGGUCACUGUGCAUUGCGCAGUCGACCAGUCGAAACACGACUCGAAUUGGCGAUCUGAAAUGACCAAGUUUUUACGGGCGUGGCUUUAAAAUGAAUUCACACGAUAGGAUAAUUAUACGUACAAGAUCAAUAUCAGUUCAGCUUUCUAUUUCUAGUCGUGCAAAAAUAGACAGGUGGUCACUGUGCAUUGCGCGGUCGACCAGUCGAAACACGACCCGAAUUGGCGAUCUGAAAUGACCAAGUUUUUACGGGCGUGGCUUUAAAAUGAAUUCACACGAUAGGAUAAUUAUACGUACAAGAUCAAUAUCAGUUCAGCUUUCUAUUUCUCGUCGUGCAAAAAUAGACACGUGGUCACUGUGCAUUGCGCGGUCGACCAGUCGAAACACGACCCGAACUGGCGAUCUGAAAUGCGAUUGAUCUUGUACUUGUAAGACCAGGUUUUUACGGGCGUGGCUUUAAAAUGAAUUCACACGAUAGGAUAACUAUACGUACAAGAUCAAUAUCAGUUCAGCUUUCUAUUUCUCGUCGUGCAAAAAUAGACACGUGGUCACUGUGCAUUGCGCGGUCGACCAGUCGAAACACGACCCGAAUUGGUGAUCUGAAAUGCGAUCGAUCUUGUACUUAUAAUACCAGCUUUUUACGGGCCUGGCUUUAUAUGACGUAAUUUGACCAUCGCCGUUCUCACAUUGACUUUGAGUAUACAUGUUUUUGAAAUAAGAUUUGAUAAUAUUCUUAACUCUGAUGCUUGCAGCUAUAUUUAUAAUAUUGAAUGACUUAUGGGUAAAAUGAAUAUUCAGACGAUAAGAAAACUAUAUGUACAUGAUCAAUAUCAGUUCAGCUUUAUAUUUCUGGUCGUGCAAAAAUAGACACGUGGUCACUGUGCAUUGCGUGGUUGGUCAGUCGAAACACGACCCGAUUUAGCGAGGUGAAAUGUUAUUUUCGGCCCAAAUGUGGCAUCAAUUUCCGUACGCAAUACAAAAGUAUACAAAAUUUGCGAACUUUGCAAGGCAAUAUUUUCCGCAUUUUACAACAUUUCGCAUUUUUACUAAUUUUAAUGUGCUCUUUCUAGCUGUGUUGAUUUAUUUCAAUUUAUUUCAAUUUAUUAAAAGAUACCAAUUUUGCAGUUAAGAACUGAAUUACACUGGUUUACAUGCAUACGAGUAAAAUGUCUACAAACACUCCUUAUUUACAAGUUGUUAAUUGUAAUAGUUCUAGGUAAGAAUAUAGCUAAAAAAUUAUUAUUUAAAACUGGAGUUGUAGGCCUUACUACCGGCCAUAAUAAAACUGUUAGCAAAC
rnacentral:lncRNA from 1 species